AUUGAACGCUGGCGGCAGGCCUAACACAUGCAAGUCGAACGGUAACAGGAAACAGCUUGCUGUUUCGCUGACGAGUGGCGGACGGGUGAGUAAUGUCUGGGAAACUGCCUGAUGGAGGGGGAUAACUACUGGAAACGGUAGCUAAUACCGCAUAACGUCGCAAGACCAAAGAGGGGGACCCUCGGGCCUCUUGCCAUCGGAUGUGCCCAGAUGGGAUUAGCUUGUUGGUGGGGUAACGGCUCACCAAGGCGACGAUCCCUAGCUGGUCUGAGAGGAUGACCAGCCACACUGGAACUGAGACACGGUCCAGACUCCUACGGGAGGCAGCAGUGGGGAAUAUUGCACGAUGGGCGCAAGCCUGAUGCAGCCAUGCCGCGUGUAUGAAGAAGGCCUUCGGGUUGUAAAGUACUUUCAGCGGGGAGGAAGGGAGUAAAGUUAAUACCUUUGCUCAUUGACGUUACCCGCAGAAGAAGCACCGGCUAACUCCGUG
rnacentral:rRNA from 1 species